rnacentral:rRNA from 1 species
GACGAACGCUGGCGGCGUGCUUAACACAUGCAAGUCGAACGAUGAAGAAAAGAAUUGCAGCUUCGGCAGAAAUUCAUUUCGGAUAGUGGCAGACGGGUGAGUAACGCGUGAGCAACCUACCUCUUACAAAGGGAUAGCCUCGGGAAACCGGGAUUAAUACCAUAUAACAUUGCGACGAAGCAUUUCGAUGCAAUCAAAGCUACGGCGGUAAGAGAUGGGCUCGCGUCCCAUUAACCAGAUGGUGAGGUAACGGCUCACCAUAGUAACGAUGGGUAACCGGCCUGAGAGGGUGAACGGUCACACUGGAACUGAGACACGGUCCAGACUCCUACGGGAGGCAGCAGUGGGGAAUAUUGCACAAUGGAGGGAACUCUGAUGCAGCGACGCCGCGUGAGUGAUGAAGGAAUUCGUUUCGUAAAACUCUGUUCUAUGGGAAGAAAAGGACUGUACCAUAGGAGAAAGCUCCGGCUAAAUACGUG